AUUGAACGCUGGCGGCAGGCCUAACACAUGCAAGUCGAGCGGAUGAAGGGAGCUUGCUCCUGGAUUCAGCGGCGGACGGGUGAGUAAUGCCUAGGAAUCUGCCUGGUAGUGGGGGAUAACGUCCGGAAACGGGCGCUAAUCCCGCAUCCGUCCUGAGGGGGAAAGUGGGGGAUCUUCGGACCUCCCGCUAUCAGAUGAGCCUAGGUCGGAUUAGCUAGUUGGUGGGGUAAAGGCCUACCAAGGCGACGAUCCGUAACUGGUCUGAGAGGAUGAUCAGUCACACUGGAACUGAGACACGGUCCAGACUCCUACGGGAGGCAGCAGUGGGGAAUAUUGGACAAUGGGCGAAAGCCUGAUCCAGCCAUGCCGCGUGUGUGAAGAAGGUCUUCGGAUUGUAAAGCACUUUAAGUUGGGAGGAAGGGAAGUAAGUUAAUACCUUGCUGUUUUGACGUUACCAACAGAAUAAGCACCGGCUAACUUCGUG
rnacentral:rRNA from 1 species